AGUGAACGCUGGCGGUAGGCCUAACACAUGCAAGUCGAACGGCAGCACAGUAAGAGCUUGCUCUUACGGGUGGCGAGUGGCGGACGGGUGAGGAAUACAUCGGAAUCUACUUUUUCGUGGGGGAUAACGUAGGGAAACUUACGCUAAUACCGCAUACGACCUACGGGUGAAAGCAGGGGAUCUUCGGACCUUGCGCGAUUGAAUGAGCCGAUGUCGGAUUAGCUAGUUGCCGGGGUAAAGGCCCACCAAGGCGACGAUCCGUAGCUGGUCUGAGAGGAUGAUCAGCCACACUGGAACUGAGACACGGUCCAGACUCCUACGGGAGGCAGCAGUGGGGAAUAUUGGACAAUGGGCGCAAGCCUGAUCCAGCCAUACCGCGUGGGUGAAGAAGGCCUUCGGGUUGUAAAGCCCUUUUGUUGGGAAAGAAAAGCAGCAGGUUAAUACCCCGCUGUUCUGACGGUACCCAAAGAAUAAGCACCGGCUAACUUCGUG
rnacentral:rRNA from 1 species